rnacentral:rRNA from 1 species
UCGGUUGAUCCUGCCGGAGGCUACCGCUAUUGGAGUUCGAUUAAGCCAUGCGAGUCGCGAGAAAUUAGAUUCUCGGCGUACCGCUCAGUAACACGUGGGUAACCUGCCCUAUGCUGGAUAAUAACCUCGGGAAACUGAGAAUAAUGAUCCAUAGUUCACUACGCCUGGAACGGUGAGUGGAUGAAAGCUCCGGCGGCAUAGGAUGGGCCUGCGGCGUAUCAGGUUGUAGGGGGUGUAACGUACCCUCUAGCCCUCUACGCGUACGGGUGUUGGGAGACAUAGCCCGGAGAUGGAUUCUGAGACACGAAUCCAGACCCUACGGGGUGCAGCAGGCGCGAAAACUUGGCAAUGCGAGAAAUCGUGACCAGGGAACUCCAAGUGCAUCGGGUAAGACCGGUGCUUUUCUUGACUCUAAAUAGGUCUUGGAAUAAGGGGUGGGUAAGGACGGUGCCAGCCGCCGCGGUAAUACCGGCGCCUCAAGUGGUAGUCGCUUUUAUUGGGCCUAAAACGUCCGUAGCCGGUCUGAUACAUUCGUGGGUAAAUCAACCAGCUCAACUGGUUGAAUUCUGCGAGGACGGUCAGACUUGGGACCGGGAGAGGUGUGGGGUACGCUCAGGGUAGGGGUAAAAUCCUGUCAUCCUGAGCGGACCACCUGUUGCGAAGGCGCCACACUAGAACGGAUCCGACGGUCAGGGACGAAGCCUAGGGGCACGAACCGGAUUAGAUACCCGGGUAGUCCUAGGUGUAAACGCUGUGGACUUGAUGU